rnacentral:tRNA from 11 species
GCGGAUGUAGCCAAGUGGAUCAAGGCAGUGGAUUGUGAAUCCACCAUGCGCGA